CAAUUUCUGUUGGUAAGCUCGAAAGCUUGUCUCUCUCUCCAACAGAAAUUGGUCCAAUAAAAGAUAUUACCUCACCCACCUUCUCUCUCUAAUCUCCUGGGACUAACACCACUAUAACAACACUGCACACAUUAUAAACUGAUACAGAUUAAGCAUCCAGAAAACUUUUUCCCCCCUGUUGAUUCCUCUGCUGUACAAAUACAUGUCAGGCUUCUUGCCUAAAUGAGAACACCACAUAGCACUGCCAAAUACAACACAAGGCAGAACUAUGUAGACAGAGUUAUGUAGGUGAAAGGGCCUGGGAGUCCUGUUUACUACACUAGCACUUAUUAUCCAUCCCGGGACGCUAUCAUGUUGCAUUGCCAGUUUUGUUGUUGCAGCAUAGCGAAGACCUUGUUUACUGCAGUAUUAUUUGAUGAGUGUGUUUGUUUUCGGUAGUCUCUUGUGUCUCAUAAAGGACUGUUUGAAAGGUGGAAUAUCUGUAACUAUGAGGUCUAUCUCCAGACACGCUGAGAGGAGGACCCAGGAUAAUGGUUCAGCCAGUCUUGGUCCUGUGACCACUUCCACAGCAGCUAGUUUUGCAACGAAGUCAAGCCCUCCUCCUCUUCAGAACAGAGUGGUCCUUUUGCCCACAGGCAGGAAUGGAUUAAGACUAUCAAGUGCCAUUGGCAUGCCACAGCUUGCCCCCACCCUGUCCAGCACCUGA
rnacentral:lncRNA from 1 species